AGAAAACCUUACGUAAUAAACGCACCCGCCUUAAUUUCUAAUAAAAUAAAUAUUUGGCCCCGUCGCGAAAAUCACCAGACAGUCCGUUUGGCAAUCUAUUUAUAGAACUUGUGUUUACGUGUGUAUCGGCCAAUCAGGAGCCGCGAUCAGCACCGGUCGGUUCCUUUACUGACUUUUUAUUAUUCAUAACCUAUUACUUGUGCAGAAAGACACUCAAGCGCGCUCGCUAGUUUUUGUCGCGAACGGACUUUUUUUUCUGUAACUUUUAUUAUUUUUCUCGCCUUUACAGUGUCGGUCAAACUUUGUAGUUGAUUUUAACCUCAUACAGUCCACUUUAAUAUUUAUUCUUUGUAAUAAAUCAAUUACUCCAAGUUAAACCCGGUUUGUUUUGCUUUACUUCGUAGUAAAAAACCUGAAACUUAAACGUAUACUUCCUUGAAGUUAAAUUCACGAUAUCGAUAAGAUAUUUUCACCGAGUCGAUCGUGAAAAAGUGGUCCGCCCCAACAUUUUGGUCUUCAAGCCGAAUAGAUAAUCAAACCAUUUGAUUAUUUUAACCUGAAUUAGUGCCGAUUGAUUGGAAAUUCGUCGAUGGAUCUUCACUGUUAAAGGUUAGUCCGUUCCAACUUUCAUCUUAACCAAGAGCCGUUAAACCAAGAUUAAGCCACAGCAGCCACCAGAGCCUGUCUUGAAGUCUUUGAACCUAUAUUACCACCCCAAUUCUUAACCGCAGACGUUUUUCUUGCCUUGGUUUAAGGGUUCUCAUGAGUGUCUUUUUGUUUCACCUACUUUAAAAAAUAUUUGUUUCAGUCAUAAUUUUAAAAUAUCAUUUGUUUUCCGUACAUGCUUUAUAACCCUUUUUUAUUUAGGUGGUGUUUAUUUGUACUUUACUCGUUUAAACCUCACAUACCUUCGCGCGUAUAUUAUUUUUGAUUUAUUUGUUGAAUAAACACCUACUUAUAUUAUUCUACACUGGUCACAAAUUUAUGUGAUUUUAUGAAACUUGCAUGUUGGUAAGUACCCAAAACCUUUUGCAGGAUUUAAUUUUAAAGCACUUGGAUUUAAAACAACAAAAUUUUGUACUGUGUUUUAUUGUUCUUAUCUCGUUGUUGGCUCGUUGUUGUAUAAAACCUUUAAUAGCUAAGUAAAGUUUCUUUGUAGGUUGUUUGUAGAAAAAUUGUAAUUGUUACUUUUUACGUAUUUUUUAAACGAAAAAUAAUAGAUUACGAAAUGAGUGAAGAAAUGACCGCAGAAGAGAUUUUAGCUAAAGCUAAAACCGAACUUAAAUUCCUCAUUAAUCGCCGUGGGCAUAUUAAAGGGACUAUCACGCGUUUUCAGGGUUUUUUGAGUUCGUUUACACCAGACACUUUGCAUCUUCCAGAAAGUAUAGCGCAAAUAGAAACGAGAUUAAAGGUUCUGGAACCCUCCUAUGUUGAAUUUGAACGUGCUCAGACAGCCAUUGAAGACCUCUGCGCAGUACACAACCUCCCGGACGCCGAUCAACAAGAAAAUGAUCGCGCUGAGUUUGAAGAAAAAUAUUUCAAGCUUAAACCUUCUCCAGUAACUAUUGCUGAUAAUCCUCAAGGUUUAUUUCAAAAUACUAAUAUGGAUCCGAUUGUGUCGAAUAUGUUUACUACAAAACUUCCUCCAAUUGCCAUUCCGGAGUUCUCAGGUUCCUACGAUACUUGGACUCAGUUUCACGAAACGUUCACAUCCCUUAUUGAUGCCAAUCCAUCCCUAUCAAACGUUCAAAAGUUUUACUAUUUACAAUCAGCUCUUAAGGGUGAUGCAUCUCAUAUCAUUAGCUCUUUAACUGCAACCAAUGAAAAUUACACUAUUGCCUGGAAGUUAUUGAUCAACCGAUACCAAAAUAAAAAAGCCAUUAUCCAUUCACACAUCAAAGCCCUAUUUAACUUGCCUCCAAUUAAGGAGGAAACCCAUUUAAGUUUGCGUAAAUUCUUAGACAAUUUUCAAAAGCAUUUCCGCCUAUUACAGAACCUAGGAGAAAACGUGAUGGAUUGGGAUACGAUGCUUAUCUACUUACUCGUAUCUAAGCUAAAUCAAACGACUCGGAGGGAGUGGGAAAUAUACUCUAAGGAUAAAGAAAGACCUUCAACACAAAACUUUACUGAUUUUCUCACUGAACGGUGUCACUUGCUCGAAUCGAUUGAUUUCAAGGCUGUUAAUAGCAAAUUUGAAAACCCUAAUAGGUCUGUCGCUGCAUACAAGACCCAGUCGCAUGCGGCAUUCGUAGACUAUCCUAAUCCUAUUUCGAAUACUACUUGUCCACUUUGCAAUGAGAGCCAUUUUGUUUAUUCGUGUAAUUGUUUUAUUGAGCUACCAAUAAGUUCUCGCUACAAAGAAGCAAAGCGUUUAAACCUGUGCACUAAUUGUCUUCGCCCUGGUCAUUUUACUUCCGCUUGCAAAUCUAAAUUUACUUGCAAAACAUGUCGUCGUAACCAUCACUCAUUGCUACAUCAAGAUAUCAACCCAACCACUAAUCCUACCACAAGUAAUACAGCAUUUAAGCCAAGAUCGAUUACCAGAUCAAAUCAAGGUGCAAUACCCCGUCAAACAAGUUUAUUCACUCAAACCAAUGACGCGCAUGCUAACAAUCAUUCCCAUAACGCCAUCAUUCCAGCCAUUAAUGAAGCUCAACCCUUAACAAAUCCAAGAAACAAUCCAACGCAAGCACCUCCUACUAACAUACAACAUGAACCAACCAGUAACCAUCAAGAUCCAUCUAACUUACGUUAUAGUUUAUCCUGUGCCAAUGCAACCGCCAACACUUAUGUUCUGCUGUCAACAGCCUUAGUCAAAGUAUAUGAUAACCACCGAAACCCUAUUUUAUGUAAGGCGUUAUUGGACAGCGGUUCACAAUCCAAUUUUGUGUCUAAAACCUUGUUUGAGAAAUUAAACCUCGCUUCUAAUAAAAUUAAUAUUCCCGUCUGUGGAAUCAACCAGGCCACUACCUUUAUUAACAAACGUGUAAAUCUUUCUUUAGCCGCCAAUCACAAUGGCUAUAAAUUCAGUUUAUCAGCUCUUGUAAUAGACAAAAUAACUGAGACUAUUCCACCUCAACCUUUAAAUAUCUCCCAGAUUCCUAUUCCUAUUGAUAUUUGUCUCGCUGAUCCAACCUUUUCUGAGCCCUCAGAAAUAGACCUUCUAAUAGGGGCUAGUUUGUUUUACAGUUUAUUAAGCUCUGGACAAAUAAGCUUAGGAAAAAAUAAUCCGAUGUUGCAAUCAAGUAAGCUAGGCUGGUUGAUUUCUGGCCCAUUGCCUUUUAACCUACCUAGUCAAACAAACUGCUGUUUAAGCUUGAAUGAUUCCGCACUGUAUAAUAGUCUUGAAAGGUUCUGGAAGAUUGAAGAUUCACCCGAUUUAGCCAAUAAACUUUCCGCAGAAGAGACUGAAUGUGAAAGUCAUUUCAUUAAAACCACCAGUCGUGAUAAAUCAGGAAGGUUUCAAGUUUCUCUGCCCACCAAAUCUUGUGUCGAUCAAUUAGGCAGUUCUCAAGACACUGCGAUUAAAAGAUUUUUGUCGAUUGAGCGAAAGUUUUCAAAAAACGCAGAAUUUAAAAAAUCCUAUGUCUCAUUCAUGCAAGAAUAUGUCGACUUAGGUCACAUGACCAAAAUUGAUCCCAGCAAACCCAUUGAUUGUCCUAUCUAUUACAUCCCACAUCACGCGGUGGAGAAGCACGAUAGCUUAACCACAAAAUUACGUGUCGUCUUUGAUGCGUCCGCGAAAUCUACAUCGGGCAUUUCUCUGAAUGAUUGUUUGAAAGUUGGACCAAAUGUUCAAAAUGAUUUGUUUUCAAUUAUCAUUCGUUUUCGACAACAUAAUUAUGUGUUGACUGGUGAUAUAGCGAAAAUGUAUCGCCAGGUCUUGAUCGAGCCUCAGCAACGCCACCUUCAGAGAAUUGUCUGGCGCGAAAGCUCAGACACUGAGUUAUCUCACUUUCAAUUGAAUACCAUCACGUAUGGCACAGCUAGCGCCUCGUUCUUGGCGACUCGUUGCCUGAAGCAAAUAUCGCUAGACAAACGUUCUGAAUACCCUGUUGAAAGUGAAAUCAUAGAAAAGGACUGUUAUGUUGAUGACGUCAUAACCGGAAGUGCCUCAUCAGAAGGUCUUCUAAAAAUAAGAAAUAACCUCUCAACAAUUUUUAAGGAAUACGGUUUUGACUUAAGAAAAUUUGCUUCAAAUGACCCAUGUUUAUUGUCCGAUUUAGCAAACGAAAACUCAAUUGAAUUUUCCAUUAACGAUUCCCAGAGUUCCAAAACAUUAGGAAUUGUAUGGAAUUCAUUAUCUGAUAAAUUAAUCUACCAUUCAAAUGUUAAUCCUAAUCCAAGUAUAGUAACCAAGCGUUCUAUCCUAUCCGAUAUCUCUCAAGUCUUCGAUCCCUUGGGAUUGCUAGGCCCUAUGAUAAUUCAAGCUAAGUGUCUUCUACAAAAACUAUGGUUAUUAAAAAUCCCCUGGGAUGAACCUGUUCCAUCUGAUAUUCGCCAAAAAUGGUUAAAUUUUGUUAACAAUCUUCACUCGGCUAGCACUAUAAAAAUUCCACGUCAUGCCUUUCUAAAGAAUGCUUCUACCUUUCAAUUACAUGGAUUUUCCGACGCAUCCAUCAAUGCUUAUGGUGCGUGCAUAUACAUACGAUCCCAAGAUAGGAGUGAUAGUAUAGUCAGCAGAUUAGUUUGCGCCAAGUCGCGUGUCGCUCCUCUCAAGGCGGUUUCAUUGCCGCGUCUAGAACUUUGCGGUGCGCUUUUAUUAGCCAAACUCAUGAAGAAACUUUGUGAAACCUUAGACAAUCGACCCAUUGAGUUAUUCUAUUGGACAGACUCGUCUAUCGUCCUUUCCUGGUUAUGCUUAGAACCCCGAACUUUAAAGACCUUUGCAUGCAACCGCGUAGCGGAAAUACAGCAUCUCACAGACACAAAUAAUUGGUAUCAUAUUCCUUCAGCAAAAAAUCCUGCUGAUUUAAUCUCCAGGGGGAUUGAUCCUCAUGACCUAAAAAAUAGUGACUUGUGGUGGCACGGUCCUAGUUUUUUAAUUGAAUGCACUGAGAAUUGGCCCACUAUCAAUCACAUUAGCAAAUAUGCACGUCAACCCAAUGACUCAAACCAAAUACCCGAAUUUAAUCCUAAUCGUGUGACAUUAACCACAAUUAUUCCUUCCCAAUUUUUGAAUGAAAUCUUGAAUAAAUACUCAAGUUUUACUAAAUUGAUUCGUAUUUUAUCGUAUUGUUUUCGCUUUGUAUUUAAUUGUAAAGCAUCCAUGGGAUUAAGGAAAACUGGCCCUAUUCAACCUUGUGAAUUUGAUGAAACUCUAGGCUUUGUAGUCAAGCAAAUUCAAGGGGAAUAUUUUGGUGAUGAGAUCGAACGAUGUAAACGAGGCAAGAAUGUCCGAACCUCCAGUCGUCUAAGCACGUUAAACCCGUUUCUCGAUAAGGACGGUAUUCUCCGAGUUGGAGGUCGAUUAAUACACGCCAAAGUUAACUUUGAUUACAAACACCCUCUGUUGCUUCCCCAUGACUCUGUCUUUACAAGGUUAAUAAUUCAGUAUGUGCAUGAGAAAAACUUGCAUCCAGGCGUUCAUUCUACCUUAUCCUUUGUUCGCCAAAGAUUUUGGUCCAUAAAUGGCAAAACCCUUGUAAAGGGUAUUAUACGAAAAUGUAUUCGAUGCUUUAAAGCAAAUCCAAGACACCUUCAACCACAAAUGGGGGAUCUACCUGCCCAAAGAGUAACGCCUUCUUAUCCCUUUUGCUCUGCAGGUGUGGAUUAUGCAGGUCCCUUCAUCAUUAAAGAUUCAAAAUUUCGAAAUAAAAAAUACCUCAAAGGAUAUUUGUGUAUUUUUAUUUGCCUGUCCACCAAAGCCGUCCAUGUAGAGUUAGCUACAGAACUAACAACACAGGCUUUCAUUGCUGCCUUCAAGCGGUUUGUGGCUCGGCGUGGGGUUUGUGAAUCCCUAUUUUCUGACAACGGUUCGAAUUUUGUGGGAGCCAACAACGAGUUUAACGCAAUAAAUAAUGUUUUACGCGACAGCAAGUUUCAAAGGUUUUUGGAAAUAACCAAUAUGAAGUGGCAUUUCAUACCAUCUCGAUCACCUCACUUCGGAGGUGUGUGGGAGGCGGCGGUGAAGUCUUUUAAGCAGCACCUGAAGCGCGUUGUAAACAAUACUCCUUUAACUUAUGAGGAACUUUAUACCCUGGUGGUUCGAAUUGAAGCGGUUUUGAAUUCGAGGCCGUUGGUUCAAAUGUCGGACGAUCCAAACGAUUUUGAUAGCCUGACGCCAGGGCAUUUCUUAAUCGGACGCCCUUUGAAUGCCUUGCCUGAAUCAGAUUUAAGGGAAGUUCCUGUAAAUCGCCUAGGUCGUUAUGCUCACAUUCAAAGGAUGACUCAGCAUUUCUGGAGCCGGUGGUCUUCUGACUACUUGCAUACUCUUCACCAGCGCUUUAAAUGGAAGAUGAAGACUAACAUUGACAAUCUGCUUGGUGUUCUAGUGUUAAUUAAGGAGGAUGGCCUUCCUUCGCAGUGUUGGAGUGUUGGACGAGUCAUAGACAUUCAUCCUGGUAAGGACAAUGUAGUGCGCGUGGUGAGCAUAAAGACAAAGGGGGGCGUGAUUAAACGAAGUAUAGUAAAGGUGUGUCCGCUACCAUUAGAGACUGAGACAAUCCAUUAGAAUUUCUAUGUUUUUUGCAGUGACCUUUUAUUUAUUGAAACUCUCUCGCUUUCUUAACUCCGUCAUUUCAAGGGCGGCGGUAUGUUACGAGAAAACCUUACGUAAUAAACGCACCCGCCUUAAUUUCUAAUAAAAUAAAUAUUUGGCCCCGUCGCGAAAAUCACCAGACAGUCCGUUUGGCAAUCUAUUUAUAGAACUUGUGUUUACGUGUGUAUCGGCCAAUCAGGAGCCGCGAUCAGCACCGGUCGGUUCCUUUACUGACUUUUUAUUAUUCAUAACCUAUUACUUGUGCAGAAAGACACUCAAGCGCGCUCGCUAGUUUUUGUCGCGAACGGACUUUUUUUUCUGUAACUUUUAUUAUUUUUCUCGCCUUUACAGUGUCGGUCAAACUUUGUAGUUGAUUUUAACCUCAUACAGUCCACUUUAAUAUUUAUUCUUUGUAAUAAAUCAAUUACUCCAAGUUAAACCCGGUUUGUUUUGCUUUACUUCGUAGUAAAAAACCUGAAACUUAAACGUAUACUUCCUUGAAGUUAAAUUCACGAUAUCGAUAAGAUAUUUUCACCGAGUCGAUCGUGAAAAAGUGGUCCGCCCCAACAGUGUUUUUUUGAAAGUAUACGAACCACAAGGGGCGAAACCGUAGGUUUACCAACCCCGAGGAGCUGGAGGAGGAACGUAGAAAAGAGGAAUUGAAAAAAAAAUGGAGGCAGCAGCACGGAGGCGACGAGUCGAGUAGCGAAGAGGAGGAGGAAAAGAAGAUCAGCGAAGAAUCUGGUAGUGAGGAGGAGGAGAGCAGCAGUGAGGAUGAGGCAGGA
rnacentral:misc_RNA from 1 species